GGGAGUAUGGCUCAAGUGGCAGAGUACCUGUCUGCUAAGCAUAAGGACCUGAGUUCAAAUCUCAGAGCACACA
rnacentral:tRNA from 1 species